UACGUAGGUGACCAGCGUUGUCCGGAUUUACUGGGCGUAAAGAGCGCGCAGGCGGUCGUUCAAGUCGAGUGUGAAAGCCCCCGGCUCAACUGGGGAGGGUCACUCGAUACUGAUCGACUUGAAGGCAGGAGAGGGAAGCGGAAUUCCUAGUGUAGCGGUGAAAUGCGUAGAUAUUAGGAGGAACACCAGUGGCGAAGGCGGCUUACUGGACGAUGACUGACGUUGAGGCUCGAAAGCGUGGGGAGCAAACAGG
rnacentral:rRNA from 1 species